AAGUGUAUAAUUAGAUCAUCGGCGAGUUUGAUGAAAUUACACCGUGCCACCAUAAUUUUAGCGAAAAAUACUCUUUAGAGUUUCAACAAAACUACCGCGGUGUCAUAAUUUUGUCAAUUUCAAGUCUAAUUCCAAAAAAGAACCACGCAAGAGGAAUCUUGGGAGGGAUGUCAUGGCUUUGCUGGCUGGUUUGGGACCAAAACUAUGUGGAAUAAAAGUGAGGUGAGAUUGAAUUUUUUUGUCUUUGUAUCAUAGGAGAAAGAAGGGACAGUGGGAGAAGGUAGAGGCUGUUAUCUAGUUAUCUUUUCUGACAGAAACCAAACUUCUUUAUUUUAUUAUUUAUAAUAGAAGGUUUCCAUGCUGACAGUGGUAGUGCAUGUCAAUAUCCAAAAAAGAUAUUUUGUCUUGAUGCUGAGAGAAGGAAAAUGAAAUAAUUGUUGAAAAAAUUUCUCCGUCAAUUACGUAGAGAAAAUUAUGUUAUCAGUUGUUUCUCUGAAAAGAUGAGAUUACAUAUUGUAACAGGUAAGCACCAAUGUAAUAAUAAUUCAAGGUUGCCUUCGAGCCACAUUGUCCAGAGCAGUCGCAAAAGGUGUCAACAAUUUCCUUAAGCUUCUCAGCUUGACUAACCAAAGCCUCUGAAAUAAGGAGGAUCUCAUCAGGUAAGCACCAAUGUAAUAAUUCAAGGAUGCCUUCAGGCCACAUUCAUUAUCCAGAGCAGUCGCAAAAGGUGUCAACAAUUUCCUUAAGCUUCUCAGCUUGAGUAACCAAAGCCUCUGACAUGAGGAGGAACUCAUCAGGUGAGAAAUAUCUGUACUUUGCUUAAAAGAAAUGAAAAUGAGAAUGAGCACUGAACCCUGGAGAAAUGGUAUUUCGACACACAAUUUGAAAGUAAAAGUCGACAACAAUUAAAUGGUUAACGUAAUUAAAAUAUUUGUUUAAUUACGUUCAGUGGAUGGUUAAUGAAUGUAAUAUUCACUCAAUGAAAUUAACUGCAAUUUUGAAGGUCAGAAACCAUGAUUUUCAAAUGUAUACUUGAACCUAAAUCAUUGUUAAUGAAUAUCACGUGUAUUUGAGCACCUAAAAUCAUGUACUUAAUCAUUUAAGUUGUCGUUGAAUUUUAAUGUCAAAUUUGUGUGUCAAAUUAAUAUAACAGGCUACCAGAGAGUUGAAGAAAACACCAAAGAGUUAGGUUACAGAUGAGAAGAAAACAUCACAUCUCUCUGGUUUGAAUUCACAGGAUACCAGAGAGUUGAAGAGAGUAGUAAUAGUAGUAAUGUAUAUUUUUUCAAUGCAGUGCAGAACUUCUUUGUUGACAUAUUUUUAACUUUUCAAUAAUUUUUUAUUCCUAUGGA